UACGUAGGGGGCGAGCGUUGUCCGGAAUUAUUGGGCGUAAAGGGUACGUAGGCGGUUUGUUAAGUCAAAUGUGAAAUCGGCAGGCUCAACCUGUUCAAGCAUAUGAAACUGGCAAACUUGAGUGAAGGAGAGGAAAGUGGAAUUCCUGGUGUAGCGGUGAAAUGCGUAGAUAUCAGGAGGAAUACCGGUGGCGAAGGCGACUUUCUGGACUUUUACUGACGCUGAGGUACGAAAGCGUGGGGAGCAAACAGGAUUAGAUACCCUGGUAGUCCACGCCGUAAACGAUGAGUGCUAGGUGUCGGGUGUCAAAGCUCGGUGCCGAAGUUAACACAUUAAGCACUCCGCCUGGGGAGUACGUGCGCAAGCAUGAA
rnacentral:rRNA from 1 species